GCAGUCGAACGGUAACAGGAAGCAGCUUGCUGCUUUGCUGACGAGUGGCGGACGGGUGAGUAAUGUCUGGGAAACUGCCUGAUGGAGGGGGAUAACUACUGGAAACGGUAGCUAAUACCGCAUAACGUCGCAAGACCAAAGAGGGGGACCUUCGGGCCUCUUGCCAUCGGAUGUGCCCAGAUGGGAUUAGCUAGUAGGUGGGGUAACGGCUCACCUAGGCGACGAUCCCUAGCUGGUCUGAGAGGAUGACCAGCCACACUGGAACUGAGACACGGUCCAGACUCCUACGGGAGGCAGCAGUGGGGAAUAUUGCACAAUGGGCGCAAGCCUGAUGCAGCCAUGCCGCGUGUAUGAAGAAGGCCUUCGGGUUGUAAAGUACUUUCAGCGGGGAGGAAGGGAGUAAAGUUAAUACCUUUGCUCAUUGACGUUACCCGCAGAAGAAGCACCGGCUAACUCCGUGCCAGCAGCCGCGGUAAUACGGAGGGUGCAAGCGUUAAUCGGAAUUACUGGGCGUAAAGCGCACGCAGGCGGUUUGUUAAGUCAGAUGUGAAAUCCCCGGGCUCAACCUGGGAACUGCAUCUGAUACUGGCAAGCUUGAGUCUCGUAGAGGGGGGUAGAAUUCCAGGUGUAGCGGUGAAAUGCGUA
rnacentral:rRNA from 1 species